rnacentral:rRNA from 1 species
UACAGAGGUCUCAAGCGUUGUUCGGAUUCAUUGGGCGUAAAGGGUGCGUAGGCGGCGCGGUAAGUCGGGUGUGAAAUCUCGGGGCUUAAACUCCGAAACUGCAUUCGAUAACUGCCGUGCUUGAGGACUGGAGAGGAGAUGGAAUUUACGGUGUAGCGGUGAAAUGCGUAGAGUAUCGAUAAGGAAGACCAGUGGCGAAGGCGG